rnacentral:rRNA from 1 species
UCCAGACUCCUACGGGAGGCAGCAGUGGGGGAUAUUGCACAAUGGGGGAAACCCUGAUGCAGCGACGCCGCGUGGGUGAAGAAGUAUUUCGGUAUGUAAAGCCCUAUCAGCAGGGAAGAAAGAAGACGGUACCUGACUAAGAAGCCCCGGCUAACUACGUGCCAGCAGCCGCGGUAAUACGUAGGGGGCGAGCGUUAUCCGGAUUCACUGGGUGUAAAGGGAGCGUAGACGGCCGUGCAAGCCAGGAGUGAAAGCCCGGGGCCCAACCCCGGGACUGCUCUUGGAACUGUGCGGCUAGAGUGCGGGAGGGGCAGGCGGAAUUCCUGGUGUAGCGGUGAAAUGCGUAGAUAUCAGGAGGAACACCGGCGGCGAAGGCGGCCUGCUGGACCGCGACUGACGUUGAGGCUCGAAAGCGUGGGGAGCGAACAGGAUUAGAUACCCGAGUAGG